rnacentral:rRNA from 1 species
UACGUAGGGGGCAAGCGUUGUCCGGAAUCAUUGGGCGUAAAGAGCGUGUAGGCGGCCAUACAGGUCCGUUGUGAAAACUGGAGGCUUAACCUCCAGACGUCGAUGGAAACCGUAUGGCUAGAGUCCGGAAGAGGAGAGUGGAAUUCCUGGUGUAGCGGUGAAAUGCGCAGAUAUCAGGAAGAACACCCGUGGCGAAGGCGGCUCUCUGGACCGAUACUGACGCUGAGGCGCGAAAGCGUGGGGAGCAAACAGG